rnacentral:rRNA from 1 species
UGGGGAAUUUUGGACAAUGGGGGAAACCCUGAUCCAGCCAUCCCGCGUGUGCGAUGAAGGCCUUCGGGUUGUAAAGCACUUUUGGCAGGAAAGAAACGUCGCGGGUUAAUACCCCGCGAAACUGACGGUACCUGCAGAAUAAGCACCGGCUAACUACGUGCCAGCAGCCGCGGUAAUACGUAGGGUGCAAGCGUUAAUCGGAAUUACUGGGCGUAAAGCGUGCGCAGGCGGUUCGGAAAGAAAGAUGUGAAAUCCCAGAGCUUAACUUUGGAACUGCAUUUUUAACUACCGGGCUAGAGUGUGUCAGAGGGAGGUGGAAUUCCGCGUGUAGCAGUGAAAUGCGUAGAUAUGCGGAGGAACACCGAUGGCGAAGGCAGCCUCCUGGGAUAACACUGACGCUCAUGCACGAAAGCGUGGGGAGCAAACAGGAUUAGAUACCCUGGUAGUCCACGCCCUAAACGAUGUCAACUAGCUGUUGGGGCCUUCGGGCCUUGGUAGCGCAGCUAACGCGUGAAGUUGACCGCCUGGGGAGUACGGUCGCAAGAUUAAAACUCAAAUGAAUUGACGGGGGUCAUAGCUGUUUUCCU